CCUACGGGAGGCAGCAGUGAGGAAUAUUGGUCAAUGGACGGAAGUCUGAACCAGCCAUGCCGCGUGCAGGAAGACUGCUCUAUGAGUUGUAAACUGCUUUUAUACAAGGGUAAACCUGAAUAUGUGUAUUCCGCUGAAAGUACCUUACGAAUAAGGAUCGGCUAACUCCGUGCCAGCAGCCGCGGUAAUACGGAGGAUCCAAGCGUUAUCCGGAUUUAUUGGGUUUAAAGGGUGCGUAGGCGGUUUGAUAAGUUAGAUGUGAAAUGUCCGAGCUUAACCCGAGAAUUGCAUCUAAUACUGGUGAUCUAGAGAAUAGAAGAGGUAGGCGGAAUUUGUGGUGUAGCGGUGAAAUGCUUAGAGAUCAUGAAGAACACCGAUUGCGAAGGCAGCUUGCUGGACUAUAACUGACGUUGAGGCGCGAAAGCGUGGGGAGCAAACAGGAUUAGAUACCCCAGUAGUC
rnacentral:rRNA from 1 species